GAUGAACGCUGGCGGCGUGCCUAAUACAUGCAAGUCGAGCGAACAGACGAGGAGCUUGCUCCUUUGACGUUAGCGGCGGACGGGUGAGUAACACGUGGGUAACCUACCUAUAAGACUGGGAUAACUUCGGGAAACCGGAGCUAAUACCGGAUAAUAUUUCGAACCGCAUGGUUCGAUAGUGAAAGAUGGCUUUGCUAUCACUUAUAGAAGGACCUGCGCCGUAUUAGCUAGUUGGUAAGGUAACGGCUUACCAAGGCAACGAUACGUAGCCGACCUGAGAGGGUGAUCGGCCACACUGGAACUGAGACACGGUCCAGACUCCUACGGGAGGCAGCAGUAGGGAAUCUUCCGCAAUGGGCGAAAGCCUGACGGAGCAACGCCGCGUGAGUGAUGAAGGUCUUCGGAUCGUAAAACUCUGUUAUUAGGGAAGAACAAACGUGUAAGUAACUGUGCACGUCUUGACGGUACCUAAUCAGAAAGCCACGGCUAACUACGUG
rnacentral:rRNA from 1 species